CACAGCUGGAAUAAGUUGUGUCUCAACUCGGCCAACGCACAGCCUAACUGUGUGCUGCAGAGGGAGAGAUCUCACUGAAAAAAUCAAGCUCAUCUUUCGACUCAGAUAUUUUUCCCCCUUAAAUAAGCAAAGCAGAUAAAGAAAUGCCAUUUCCAUGAGUUUGCAGGCCAGCUGUAGGGGAUCACACCCCUUUCUAGAGGAGUGUUUCUGCCUGAGUGGCUGUGCCAGAGGCUCCAGAUGAUCCCCUCUGGAAUGGGAGGGUCUCCAGGCACGGGGGGGCUGCAUGUCAUCGUCGACAUCCUCAGCACUGCCCCACUUACCUGCAAUCCCCAGUCAGGAUGAAGUUCAGCCUCCAUGGUGGGAGGAAAAAGCUAAUUUCUUCAGGAAUCUGAUCUUUCACACUGCUCCUGAGCAGUUUGGAUAAUCAUCUUUAACACUUACUUGGGUCCUUGCAAAGCAGCUUCCUAAUUUAUUUAUAGGUUGAGAGCACAAAAUGCUGGUUGGCUGACUUGGAUCCACAAGGAGGAGAAUUUCAAAGAGCUUUUCUUUAUGCAGCCCUGUAACAAGAGGGCUGGGAAGCUUGUCCUAGAGUGGGAAGUUAAAGGCUUGGUAAAGAAUUGACCUCUGAGCAAACUGGGAGUCUAAAUCCAAGCUGAUCAUGGUCCAGCCAGAGUUCAUCUGUUUGACUUUGGGGUUGAGCUCUAGCACAAGGACUUUGAAACCUGUGGCAGAUGCAAAAGGAUGUAGUGUUACAGAUGAGCCUUGAAUAUCACAGAGGAAAUUGGUUUGCUUAAUUUAGUGAGGAAUGUUACAGAAAAAAACCCUCAAUUUUUUUCAGUUUUAUUGGUGAAUAUAAAUAGAAUCUCAUGGGGAGUUGCUGCUAACACAAUGUUGUGCUGCACAGGAUGUGGGCUGGUGAUUGAAACCCCUCACCACCCUCACUGGGUGCUUUGCUGCUCUCCAGGCAAUGAAAAGGAAAUCCAUUCUUGUAACUGGAUCUUUUCAUUGGCCCAGAGCUGUGAGAUCUCUUUUACCCUCUGUCCCAGCUCACAGCAGUCAGACACUGCCAGGGCUGAGUUUAUUCUGCCAAAGAAAGACAAGCGCCUGCCUGAAGGAGCGUCAGUGUUUAUGGUGAUGGCCUCAGUGAAUUUCUGCUGCAGGACACUCUCAUUAUCCUCCUGGCAUUGUUUUGGUGUCUCAGGAAUUCCAGAAGUUCCUAUAAAGCAAACACCUUUUUGGAUGGUGUCUGCCACCAGAGCUGGAAACCCUGCAGAAUCUGUGGAUGGUGCUGUGGAGUAAGAAAACUGGAGGUGAGAGCUUGUAAAGAGAGGAUCUGCAAACACUCUAUAAGGGGGUUUUGCUUCUGCAGCAAUCCCACAUUCCAGGCAGCCUGGGAAGGAGCAGAGCUCUGGAUGGAAAAGACAGUUGAAAAUUAGAAAGUUAUUACAGAGAAUUGCCCCAAAACACAGGAUUUCAAAGUCAGCUUUCUUCAGAACUCCAAUGAAGUGGUGCAAUGAGAUUCUGUGUCACCCACACCAACACAUUCGAGCUGGAAUUCAGACACAUUUACAGCAUGAAAAGCACGGCGCUAAAUCCAUGGGAAGGGGUAGAAGUUGAGUGUGGCACCAUCUCUGCUGAACUAGAGAAACUUUCUGCAAUGAAUUGCUCAAUCACUUCAUUUGGAAGAAGAGCAACUGCUAUCAGCUCUAAUUGGCUCCCAGAACCCAGGAAUGCUUCCCUGCUAGAAAAUGAUACCACAGAGAAUCCAAAAGUGGCUCCUGGUUCUGGUCCAUGGCCUGACCUCCCUCUUCCCAGAACUGUGGCUUUGAGAUGCCCCAGGUGUGCAGACAUUUGGAAAGUCAGGUUGGCUCACGGGCUCCCACUGAAGCUGUCAAUGAGUGUCUGGGUUGACUUUUCCUUUCAGGAGACACUUCCCUAAAUAAUACAUCUUCCAAGCUGGGAUUGC